CCAAUAUUCCUUGUGUCUAUUGCGGUGAUUCAUAAUAACUGAUCGAAUCUCUUUUUGAGAUAAAUCAUUCAAGUUUCUGCCCUAUCAGCUUUCGAUGGUAGUGUAUUGGACUACCAUGGCAGUAACGGGUAACGAAGAAUUAGGGUUCGAUUUCGGAGAGGGAGCAUGAGAAACGGCUACCACAUCUAAGGAAGGCAGCAGGCGCGUAAAUUACCCAAUCCUGACUCAGGGAGGUAGUGACAAGAAAUAGCAAACCGGGAACCUCAUGGUUUCACGGUAUUGCAAUGAGAACAAUUUAAAACCCUUAGCGAGAAUCAAGUGGAGGACAAGUCUGGUGCCAGCACCCGCGGUAAUUCCAGCUCCACUAGCGUAUAUUAAAGUUGUUGCAGUUAAAAAGCUCGUAGUUGAACCUCUGUCUGGGGCUAGUUUUGGCUUUGGUCAGGCUAGUUCUAGGCAUCCGCCUACAAGACUUAGAGGGCAUUCAGUUGUUCACUAGGAGGAGUAGGCAUUUUACUUUGAAAAAAUUAGAGUGUUUAAGGCAGGCAAUCGCCCGCAUAUAUUAGCAUGGAAUAAUAGAAUAGGACACUUUUCCAUUUCGUUGGUUAUUGGAAUCGUGUAAUGAUUAAUAGGGACAGUUGUGGGCAUUUGUAUUUAAUAGUCAGAGGUGAAAUUCUUGGAUUUAUUAAAGACAAACUAACGCGAAAGCAUUUGCCAAGGAUGUUUUCAUUAAUCAAGAACGAAAGUUAGGGGAUCAAAGACGAUCAGAUACCGUCCUAGUCUUAACUAUAAACUACUCCGACUCAAUGUUUGACUGGCUUAUAUAACCAGUUGAGCGUUGUAUGAGAAAUCAAAGUCUUUAGGUUCUGGGGGGAGUAUGGUUGCAAAGCUGAAACUUAAAGGAAUUGACGGAAGAGCACAACCAGGAGUGGAUUCUGCGGCUUAAUUUGACUCAACACGGGGAAACUUACCAGGUUAAAACAAUAGCGGGAUUGACAGUUUGAGAGCGCUUUCUUGAUUGGUUGGGUGGUGGUGCAUGGCCGUUCUUAGUUGGUUGAGUGAUUUGUCUGCUUAAUUGCGUUAACGAACGAGACCUUAACCUGCUUACUAGACUGGCGAUCAUCAAUCGUUAGCUCUUCUUAGAGGGACUUUGGUUGUUUUAACUCCAAGGAAGUUUGAGGCAAUAACAGGUCUGUGAUGCCCUUAGAUAUCCUGGGCCGCACGCGUCAUACAAUGACUA
rnacentral:rRNA from 1 species